CCUACGGGAGGCAGCAGUGAGGAAUAUUGGUCAAUGGACGAGAGUCUGAACCAGCCAAGUAGCGUGAAGGAUGACUGCCCUAUGUGUUGUAAACUUCUUUUAUAUGGGAAUAAAAUGUUCCACGUGUGGGAUUUUGUAUGUACCAUAUGAAUAAGGAUCGGCUAACUCCGUGCCAGCAGCCGCGGUAAUACGGAGGAUCCGAGCGUUAUCCGGAUUUAUUGGGUUUAAAGGGAGCGUAGGUGGAUUUUUAAGUCAGUUGUGAAAGUUUGCGGCUCAACCGUAAAAGUGCAGUUGAAACUGGCAGUCUGGAGUAGAGUAGAGGUGGGCGGAAUGCGUGGUGUAGCGGUGAAAUGCUUAGAUAUCACGAAGAACUCCGAUUGCGAAGGCAGCUCACUGGACUGAAACUGACACUGAGGCUCGAAAGUGUGGGUAUCAAACAGGAUUAGAUACCCGAGUAGUC
rnacentral:rRNA from 1 species